CGUGUGUUCGCGCGUUCACUGGCCGGGUCCGUUGUCCCGGAAAGCUGCUAGAGGGUCGGUGGGCGGGCAUAGGGUUGGGGGUGAGUCCUCAGAGACCGCGAGGAGGAAAAGGAAGGGAAACAUUAGGUCCUGAUCGGCUGGAACGUCCCUUGACAGUCUCUAAACAGGUAGUUAACAGUCCCAAGGCGCUCAGUAGAAUCACCUGAAGACAUUUAUUUUCUAAACCCUAACCCUAACCCAGGCAGCACCGUAGAUCAAUGAAAAGAUAACUGAUAAGGAAUGCGACCCAGUACUAAUUCUUCUAGAGAUAGGCUUUUCCCCUUGCCUUUGCUGCAAACAAUUUAGCAUGACUCCCAAAUUCUUCCAGAGGCAAUAUUUCUAAGCUUCUUCUUUUUCCCACUGACCCAGAGGAGAUUUUGGACCUUACUCCUUUUCUUUGCCUUGCCCAUUCUCUAUGGAAAACAUUGCUCUGGCAAAUUGGUUUACCUGCACUUCUGUGGCACAGAAUCAAGAGGAAAAGGGAAGAAUGCCCAGGUGCUUUUUAAGGAGGCAAAGAAACUGACCCAUCUCCUCGGGUUCCAUUUCUCAGAACAGCAACUGUCACGCUUCUCAUCUGCAGUGGUACUAAGCAACUAAACAAUGUGAGAAUCUUGUGACUGUCCAGCUAAUGGGAUAAAACUCACCUCUCCGAGCUCUGAGAUCUGCUUGCUCACUGUGGGGAGCUUUCUUCCCUCAGUCUUGCUGAGUUAACAUUUAUACUAAAUCGCUUGAAAUCAAAUUGUCGAGAUCUUAUCAACACUUGAUUGCAAUGACCUUCUUGGCUGACCCUUGACUAAUGUAACCCUGUCCUAAUGUUCCAAUUAAAAUCGCAUCAAAUAAGUGAAAUUGGAUUUUCCUUUGCAGU